GACAACCUGGAAUGAAGCUUUUGCCAUUUGUUCCCAGACAGAUGGUGCCUACAUGUGGAGACCGAACACUCAACAAGAGGCCAAAGCUGUUUUGAUUGAACUUAAUAUUCCACUCAAUGCUGAGGAAGUGUGGACCGGAGCAAAUGAUUUAGAUCAGGAUGGGAACUAUGAAUUUGCCGUAGAAAAUGGUCCAUUUUCAUUAAAUAAUCCCCC